rnacentral:misc_RNA from 1 species
AUAACUGAUUCUCUAAAAAAUGGCACACGCUGUCAAAAUAUGUCAGAUUUUUUUGCGUAGAUUUUUAUUUGCUUGAAUUUCUCAAAAAUGUCACGAGAUAAAAGUGUGUGGUUUGCAGAAGAGAUAUUGUUGGAUGCCAAAUUAAUUAAUUUUCAACUGGAGACUGGAGAAUGGGACGCUGUAGAAGAGAUGUUACGAGCCGAAGCUCAGCUUUCGAGAGAUGCAGAAACCGGACGAUUGCGCCCAAAAAAGGCAUCAGAGUAUACAUUGCGACUUAUAGCAGAAGUCUUGCACAUAAUGCGUCUUGAUGUUGAGCAAGCCUCGUACAACAGGAGCACUUUAGCUGUUGCCGAGCAAUGCCUCAGAUUGGUGCGGUCAUGUGCUGCGGCAGGCACUAAGAUGCAGACCUACAUCUCUAAAGAACUCUCCAUACUAGACUCUAUGCACAUUCUAGCUACAGAAUACCAGCACCCAAGUGUUGACUUUGUCAAUGAAGAACUUCAAAAGAAGUUUGAGUCAUGCAUGACUGUGCUUAUGCAAACAUUAGGAAACUUAGUUGUAAAUAAUCCCUUCAACCAAAUUAUGAUUUGGAAUAAAUUUGAUGCCAAUAUACUCAACAGCUUUGUUGGUUCCAAUGAUAAGAUAGCCACUGCAGCGGCCAUGAUUGUCUACAACAUUUUAUUAGGCCAACCUAAUGUGUUGCCAGAUGAUGUUAUGUUAUUAAACUCUUUAGCUUACAUGUAUAGUAAUGGCAACACUGAAUACCCACAUUUAAUCAUAGAAUAUUUAAUUGGUGUUGAAAAUACUUAUAUUGAGAAGUUAUAUUCAAAGUUGGAUCCUGAAUGUCGAAUGCUGGUGUUAAACAUGGCUUACAAUAUAUUGAUGUCUACGGAAUCUCAAGAUAUAAAUGUGUCAGUAAACUUUGUUAAGUUUAUGGCUCAUGAGUUCAAAAGUAAAUCGGAUUGUAUAUUGAAGACGGUUGACAAGUACGUGAACACUAUUGAGCCUCAGGAGGUGGUGUUUUUAUUGGAGAUCAUAGCUACUGCAUCUAGUAUGGAUGCUUACAUGGACUGCUUACAGACGGACAGCUCAUUAUUUAUUAAUUGUGCAUUUCUCCUAAGAGCGAUUCACAAGUUAGGCAAAGAGAGUAGCAACUUCUUCUCUUCUCUCAACAAACUGUAUGAGGCUACCGGCAUGACUUUCAUUGAUGAUGAGAACUUAACAAGUGUGCCCGCCAAUAGUCCAUAUCCGUUAACCAAAAACGAUUCAGCCGAUAACAUGCUAUCCUGUAACGAAACUACUUCAGAAUGUACCGAAUCAGAAAGCAGUGAGCAAUACUUCGAAUGCAAUGAAAAUCCAGCUUACAUGGACAAAUUCGACGCCGUUGACAAUUUACAACCUCUCAAGUUCCCCGAUACGUUUCCCGAAGUCAAAAAUGGGCGGAGCAACUCAAAUUCUAAUGUCAAAAUUGAUGCUGAUCUUUCCAAAGUCGCGUAUAAGCGAAGUAGUUCCGUUCCUAAAAAUGAGGACAGAGUGCCCUUGCCUACGAGGCGGAUUAGUUUGGAACAUAAAAUCGAUAUAGGGGACGAUAACGAGCCGCCUUUGAUAAUAGACUCGGCGUCGCCAAAUGGUAGCAUGAAUACCAUAGCUGAAAUGAUCCCCGUAGCCUUGCAGCCGAGGUUAGAACUACAGCCGACAAGCAGAACUGAGUCUCAAGAGAGUUCGCCAAACGAUCCUCCCACAGAAAUUCACAUUUCGAAAGAUGAAUUGAAAACCGAAGUCAAGGCGUCCCCUAGCGAGAUAUCUCCGCCUUUAGCAGAGAAUGUUACAGAAACGGAGUCUCAGAAGCAAUCCCCUGAUACUCCGAAAGAAGUUAAGAAAAGUCAGAAUUUGUCGACGGAUUUCGAUCUCAGUGAACAACUACAGAAAAUUCUGGGUAUUUCUUCGGAGAAAACUCGUGGGGAAACAGCUAAUGCUGAGAAGAAGAGUGAACCAGCUAAAGAAGUAAAGAUCUCUGAUGAUGCGACUAAUAAUAAGGUGCCGUCGGUGAAAAUUGAUUCGCCGGAGGGCGCGAAGACCAGGCUAGGAGCGAUUGACAUGACGACUCCUAAGAAAGCCGUGACGUGCGUGGAGACGGUGGAGCGUCACGUGGCGUUCGGCUUCAAGGCGGCGCUGGUGCGGACGCUCGCCAACCUCUGCUGGAAGAACCAGGAGAAUAAGAAACUGAUCCGGGAACUGGAGGUGAUCCCAGUGCUUCUUGAUUGCUGCAAUAUCGACGCUCGCAAUCCCUUGAUUAUGCAGUGGGUCAUCUUUGCUGUACGCAACUUGUGCGAGAAUUGUCCGGAGAAUCAGGAAGUAAUAUCGAAAAUGACGCUGCAAGCUCCAGUCGACAAUGAAGUACUUCAGGAGAUGGGUCUGACCCUUCAGACAGAUACUCAAGGCAACAGCAUCAGAAUUGUACCCAUGUCCCGCGGUUAGACUGACAUAAAACCAACCUAUAUAAUAGCCUUCUUAUGUAGAGAUUACUAUUCCGUACUGAGAAUCGAUUUGGGUGAAACCAGAUUUAAAUUCUUAUUAUGAUGCGAGCUAGAAGAAGCUAUAAUUUCAAAUACGUAUACGUAUUUGCUCCCUACCUACUGUAUUCAAUGUGUGUAACUUUAUUCUGUUCUCGGUAUAGAAUAGGAUCGUGCAAUGAAGUAUUAUGAUUAAAAAGACCUAUGCUUUCUACAAGAGAUUGUAAUACCUCGGGUGAUGUAAAACUGUUGAAAUGGCUUGUGGUUGUUGGAUUCAAUGUAUGAUAUGUACUCCAGAAGAAAUACCAGCUCUGCAGUACAUUUGUGAUAGAUUUUUAUAUGAUGGAGUCUGAAGCUAAUCUUGUGUAAAGCCAGUCUUGCUAUAUGCAAAUAUAUGAACUAGUUUCCUUUGCUUGUUGCAAUGUUUCCAAUCAUAAUCCAUGAUUUAUUCCUAUGUGUGAAAUAAAUUAUAAAUAAAUACAUAAAUGCAUUUAAUCAUUACCUA